UGCCUACUAAAAUAUUAAAAACAAUUGCAUUUCCGUUAUCAAUUCACUUAUCUCACCUUAUUAACAUGUCAUUUGAAAAAGGUUCAUUCCCGACUAGAUUAAAGAAAUCAAUAGUUAAACCCAUAUUUAAAAAAGGGGAGAUAAAUAAUCUUAAUAACUACAGACCAAUAACAUUAAUUCCCGUUUUAUCAAAAAUAUACGAGAAUACAUAUUAUAAUAGACUAGAUAACUUCUUAACAAAAAACAACGUUCUAAGACAGGAACAAAAUGGCUUUAGAAAAAAUAAAUCCACAACAUUGGCUUGUUUCGAACUCAACAAUCAAAUAACAGAAUGCAUAGACCAAGGUAUUCCUGUUGGCGUACUAUUUCUCGAUAUGUCAAAAGCAUUUGACACGGUUUGUCAUAAACGCCUGC